AUUUGUCUGGUUAAUUCCGAUAACGAACGAGACCUUAACCUGCUAACUAGAUUCUUCCAUCUUAUGGUUGAUAUCUUCUUAGAGGGACUAUGUAAAACAAAUACAUGGAAGUUUGAGGCAAUAACAGGUCAGUGAUGCCCUUAUAUGUCCUAGGCUGCACGCGUGCUACACUGAUGCAUACAACAAGUGCCUAACCAGACAUGGUAUGGCAAUCUCGAAUAUGCAUCGUGAUGGGGAUAGAUCUUUGCAAUUAUAGAUCUUGAACGAGGAAUUCCUAGUAAGUGCAAGUCAUCAUCUUGCAUUGAUUAUGUCCCUGCCCUUUGUACACACCGCCCGUCGCUCCUACCGAUACCGGGUGAUCCGGUGAACCUUUUGGACUCUUUACUGGGAAAGAUAAGUAAACCAUAUCACCUAGAGGAAGGAGAAGUCGUAACAAGGUUUCCGUAGGUGAACCUGCRGAAGGAUCA
rnacentral:rRNA from 1 species